rnacentral:rRNA from 1 species
AGCAGCCGCCGCGGUAAUACGAACCGUGCGAACGUUAUUCGGAAUUACUGGGCUUAAAGCGCGUGUAGGCGGGCCGCCACGUCGGUUGCUGAAAUCCCCCGGCUCAACCGGGGAAGUGGCAUCGAUACGAGCGGCCUUGAGGGGGGUAGGGGGAUCUGGAACUUCCGGUGGAGCGGUGAAAUGCGUUGAGAUCGGAAGGAACGCCCGUGGCGAAAGCGAGGUCCUGGACCCUUUCUGACGCUGAGACGCGAAAGCCAGGGGAGCGAACGGGAUUAGAUACCCCCGUAGUCCCUGUCUCUUAUU